AUGUAAAGGCAGAUGGGAAAGUUGUGAGGGUGGAUGGGAAAGCUAAAAAAGCAAACUUGUGAAUGCAUAUAAGUGAUGUGAGAACUUGUAAUAAACAAUUUGGAUCGUUCACAUCUGAGUCCGUGCAUCAGAUGCUGCAAAUAGCACCUACCGUGUGGAACAAAUCAAGCUGAGGCUGAGUGAGCCCGGUCCAGCAGCACUGCCCAACUGAACUACAGAGAUUGUUUCGCGCCUACCUGCACCAUUCUGCAGGACAGAAGGUAUCAUUCAGCAAAUUGAAGGAUUUUUUCUUAAGGAAGUUAACAACCCUGUCUUGUUUGCACAGCUCAAGUGUUCCACUUGGGCUCUGUAUCACACACUGCCUACACGUAUGCGGCGUACAAAUGGAAAAAACCCAGCAG
ensembl:lncRNA